rnacentral:rRNA from 1 species
AUUGAACGCUGGCGGCAGGCCUAACACAUGCAAGUCGAGCGAGCGGCGGACGGGUGAGUAAUGUAUGGGGACUGCCCGAUAGAGGGGGAUAACUACUGGAAACGGUAGCUCAUACCGCAUACUAUCGGAUAACCCAUAUGGGAUUAGCUAGUAGGUGAGGUAAUGGCUCACCUAGGCGACGAGCCCUCGCUGGUCUGAGAGGAUGAUCAGCCACACAGGGACGGAGACAGGGCCCAGACUCCUACGGAGGCAGCAGUGGGGAAUAUUGAACAAUGGGCGCAAGCCUGAUGCAGCCAUGCCGCGUGUAUGAAGAAGGCCCUAGGGUUGUAAAGUACUUUCAGUCGGGAGGCGUUACCGACAGAAGAAGCACCGGCUAACUCCGUGCCAGCAGCCGCGGUAAUUC